UGUAAUUGGUGGCUUGGUGAGAUGCAUGAGAUAUGAAGCAAGGAAUCCUGUACCUUCACGCAGCUUGAUUACUUUUUCUUCCCUUGUUUUCUUGUCUGAAUGGAAUCUGAAUAAAUAGAGCAACUACGGGGAUUAGUGUAAAGCUUAAGGCCGCAAGGUGGAAUUUCCUCAUGGAACCUUGCCACAUUUGAUGCUUCACGACAGAAUUAGGUCUCUCCAGGUCCAGGUAGCUGAGCCAUGAAUGUGACAGGAAUCAAACAAACUAAUGAAAUAUAGCACAAUGAUCAAGUGCCUAUUUGUCUCAAAACAGGGAUUGAAAGACUCUUUGUUUUCAUUCAUCAUCUCUUGUUUCCUUCCAUAGAAAGCUUCAUGGACUUUCCCUUAUGAGAAGGAUGUAAAAUUUUGUUUAACUUAUCAACAUAAUCUGUUUGCACUUUCGGUUGAUUGUAACUUUUCCAUCCAAACUACACAAGCUAUAAUCACCAUGACACUGACCUUUCAGAGGACAGAGAUUGUUGCAAGUACAAUGCAUAUUAUCGAGUUAAAAUUUGCGGAGCUAGCAUCAUAAUGGAGAACAGCGAUUGCAUCCUCGCAAACAGAAUUGCACAAAUGUAAAGUAGACUCACGAACCAAAGCAUUAGGCAAUGACAAUCCCUUGAACACCUCAUCACUCAAACCAAAGGCCAUUAUCAAAUUCUCCGUGCUAUUCUCCUCCUCUAUAUUGAAUCUGUAACCAACCCAAUGCACCUUUCCGUUAACAAAUGCAUGAGUCCAGAAGUGUGGAAUCACCGCUUGAGGCAAAUUAGCAGCAAUCACCCUCCAAUUACCUACACGUAGUGCAAAAACUUCUGCUAUAGAAGGCAUAAUAUCCCCAUGACUCUGUUCAGCAUAAGCAAUUCUCACGACCUUAAAAUCACUGUUUUUUAUGUGACAUCCAAAUCCUAACAAGGAGUACAUACUAGGCCAAAAGUUUUUACAACUUGCUCGGGGCAAAGGAAGAGUGAUUUUUCGCUUGAUGAAAGGGUUGCACAGCAUAAUAAGGUCAUGUAUCCAAAAACAUCAUCAGACAAACAUAGUAACCCAUUGCUAUAAUCCACAAUCCUGAAAUAAUACUGCACUAACUGGCGAAAAGGGAAGAAUAUUUUGACCUCAUUUUCCCCUGUGAAGUCCUCAUUUUCGUGGUAUACUGAGUAACGUUCAGUCCGUCGGUGUUUGCAGUAGCGCCUCACAAGCAUUCUAUCAUCUGGGGUGGAGGAUUUUUGAGAGAGAAGCAUGAUGGGUGUGCAUGGAGACGAAAUGAAGGCUUCAGAUCAAAGAUUUCCAUGACUUAGCUACGCACCUCAGUCUCAGGAGGGUUUUCGCAGGAACCCUUCUGAGGACAUGAACUAAAACCUCUUCAGGGAAGUAAUCUGACAUUUUUUAUGAGAAAUAGAAAUGUUAAAAUAAAAAGAAAUACUGCUUUUUGGUUUUUUUUCCCCUGUUUCUUUCGGUAGGAAGGAAAAAAGGAUAUUUGACUGUAGGAAGCUUGGAAUUUUUCCAAGCCAGGAUUAUGAAGAAUGGUUUUUUCUGGUUGUCAUGGUGAUUUUAUAUCAGAUUAGCAUGUAUUAAAAACGUAUUUGAGUAUUGAUAUUUAAUUUUGGAGGUAUAAAAUUGAUUGUCAAUAGGAUUUGUGUGUGUGUGUGUUUUCUUUUUCUUUUUUUUUUUUUGCAUGUCAAGUAUUGAUACUAUAUAUGCAAUUUGGAAUCUUUUGGACGGCUACUUGGUUUUAGAAUUUAUGCUUGGAUGGUUGUUAAGGAUUAGACUUGUUGUUUUGGGUGAAAGAAAAUGAUUGAGUAGACUAUAUUUUUCUUUCUUAGUUUUAUACAAAAGGGUAAUUUACGAUUUUUGUGAGAAAAUCUAUCUUGUUGGACCUACAUUGUGACUAAACAAUAAAAAUAGGGUAGGUAUAUGUAAUUUUUAAAACUUGGAGGAGCUCUCUGUAAUUAUUGAAAACCUCAGGGGAGGUUUGUUCCAAAAAAAAUUAUAUAGAGUAGCAUGAUGCUAAUGGAAUUCAGUUUAGGCCAGGGCUAAACAGGAAAUGAAGCCUAGGUUGCAGGUUGCAGAUGUUGGAAUUCUUGACGACAAUGGAUUAACUUCGUGCAACUAUCUCCCUGCGAAAACAACCAUCCCAGCAAAGCUAAUUUUGUUUGCACAGGAAAAGCGGAUUCAUUUCAAUUUGUCUUAUGGAAACUGGUAAAAACUAGUUAGCCUCUGUUAAUAAUGUUCCACAAGGCUCCCUUAGUUAUAUUUUUUCUUUAUGUAAUUUCUAACUCCUCCAUUCCCUUUUUUUUUGUUGUAUUUUUAUGAUGUUUUCUGCAUAAUCUCUUUGCUCAAGUACAGCAUUUGCAAUUUCAGUUUGCUCGGUUGGUUGGUGGGAAACUUGGGAUAAGUAAUAUGUAAUAGCUUGUGACCUUUAUAAUUGGAUGGGACAUUAACAUCUGUGCACGGAAGUAACAUACUGCGAAUCACAAUAAAGUACUGUGCAACUAACACUCUUUGCUGCCCGAGUUUUUUUUUGAUGGAAUCCAUUCCUCAUUCGCAAACUUCUUGUGGUAGAGGAAUUAUCCCAUUUGCAUCCACUGAGUCUCAUUUUCCUUCGGUUCUUCGCAUUUGUUGCCAAACGACUAUCUAUAUUCUGUACACAAAUACUGUCAUUUCUUCAAUGUAUUGUCUUGCUGAAUCACAGAAGGUAGCUCCAGAAAAACAACUUCCCUAACAGUCUGCUCAAACUAAAAAUUUGUCCUUGUUAGGUAAGGAACUCCACAAACCUCCUCAUGUUUUCAGGUACAAAAGCUUCUUCCAUGGCUCUCACGAUUGCAGUCAGAUCGUUCCCAAAAUGGUCAUUUGCAGUCACAUUGCUAGAGCCAGCUGCAGUUUCUCCGAACCUUUCACUGAUUGCGAACCUACAAACAGGGCAUCGACCUUCGUUGUUCACCCAAGGAACAAUACAUUCCUCAUGAAACAUGUGGUUGCAAGGAGUAAUCGUAACUAUCUCUUUAGGCUCAAAAUCUUCCAAGCAAAUGGCACACCUCUUACCUUCUUCAUGCUUCUCUUUUUCUAGUUCUUUGGAAAUAGUAAGUGGGUUAUCUCGGUAGUACAGAUUUGGUUUCCUUCUCGACAAUUUUGUCACGGGAUUAUAUGCUUCUUUCUUCAGCCUGUUCAAGACUUUCUUUUGCUCUUCUUGAGAUAAUUUGGACCCGUCCUGGGGGCCUUGCACGCUCGGUUGCGGCUGAAAAUUUGGCAAAGCAAUAGCUGCAGGUGGCACACUCGGUUGCAGCUGAAAACUUGGCAAAGCAAUAGCUGCAGGUGGCGAUGGUAUUGUGUUUCUUGUUGUGUCAAUGUUGAAGUAUUGAGUUUGAUUCUGCAAAUGUGGUGGGGCUGGAAAACUGCAAGUCAUUUUAUUAGUUUUCACACACUGAGAUUUCAAAAUUAUGUACCUGAUUUUUUUUUUAUCCAUUCACAAAUUUGAGAUUUCGCAUCGUAUCCAUAAACUGGAAACGAAUGAUACAAACGAAGAAAAUGGUUAUAGGACUAAUCCAUUCCACCUAGUUCUUAAGUUGGACUAGUGUGAAAAUUAAGGGAUGCUUUCUUCCUCGUCCCCCUCGCCUCUCAUCUCUCUUCAAUCUAAACAACAAUACUCUAUGCUUCCUGAAUAUCCCACACAAUCAUCAUGUCCUUGCAUCAUCCGUUGGUAAUUAAAGAACAUCAAACGGACAUAAUCAUCAGAACUGGCAUGAAGAGGCAUGCAUUCCAUCCUUAAAUCCUCUAGAAGAAAUGUAGGGUUUGAAAUUAAAGGAAAUAAACAGAUUUUUCUAUCUUUUCUUCAAGCUAGCUCCACUUUACAUUCUGUUAUGUUUAGUUAACAAGUGUUUCUGAGCAAGCCCUUUUAAUGAAAUUUCUUUUUUUUUUUUUUUGGAUUGCUCAUAUCCAGGCUGCUACUUAAUAUGCAGUAUACACUUAUGAUUUCAUUAUUUGAUACAUAUACUGGUGUGCUUUAGUCUAUAAUUCUUGGAAAAAGAAUUUUGACCUUACAUUCGGCUCCUACUUCUUCAGUUGGAUUGGAAGAUGUGAUUAUGUUCCAAGUUUCAGUGUUGUACAAUUUCCCCUCACCCAGAGGGGGGAGGGAACCGGAAUCAAAACUAAAUCUUUAUGAUAACUAUUGUUUUUCAUUUCUUUUACUUUCUUGUGUGGCAUCUUUUGGAAUUGUCCACAAAGAUUUGGCAAGAGCUCAUGUGACAGUAAUUUGUAUAUUAGAGCGAAUAGGCAUGGAUAAGAAAUGUAACUUGAAGAUGGGAUGAUUAUAUGCUAUCUCCCCUUUCCUUAAAAUGGGAAGCCCUUUUGUACUUUUAUUUGUUCUCAAGGUCCUAGGUUGGUAAGAUAAACAGUUCAAUCUCGCUAAAAGACCAGUGACCAUACAAGGCAGUUUUACCUUGCAAAGAAACUUCGUACAGCUUAGAUUUAUCAUGUUCCUACUUCAGCAUAGAUCUUCUAGUUAUGUAUUGCUGGAAAGAGAUUAUCCUGGGAAGUGAGGGUGUGUAGAAAGAAGAACAAAUUUACCUGGAUACGCCAAGAAAUCCACUGGGAUUGCUUACCCCAAAAAUGAACCGUGGAUCAGGAUCUCCUCCUCUGGGAGCCUGUUUCAUAUGAAAAAAGACUGAUCUGAUAUGUUCCUGGAAAUAAAUUAUCCAAUAUGAUGCACCAAUGACUUUCAUAGAUAACAUAUCGAUAUGCCUAACCACAGCAAACGAGGAGGACAAUCCAUUCCUCCUACGAGGUCUAGCUGAAUAUCCACCAUAAUCCGGCCCAGUUCUCAAGUAUUCUGGUGGCGUGUAAUUCUGGUUACUUCCGUUCAUAGGGUCUGUCACAGAAAGGAAAAUGACUCUUACAACGGAGGAAAUUUCCCAGUGUUUGCAACUUUCCUGCCUUAGGUACAUCUUUUAAGUUCUCUUUGUAAAUUUACUUUUUUUGGCAGAUGUGAAAUGUGAUUCUUUGUCCAUUUAGUUGAUCCUGUAAUUGGUGGCUUGGUGAGAUGCAUGAGAUAUAAAGCAAGGAAUCCUGUACCUUCACGCAGCUUGAUUACUUUUUCUUCCCUUGCUUUUCUUGUCUGAAUGGAAUCUGAAUAAAUAGAGCAACUGCGGCGAUUACUGCAAAGCUUAAGGCCGCAAGGUGGAAUUUCCUCAUGGAACCUUGCCACAUUUGAUGCUUCACAACAGAAUUAGGUCUCUCCAGGCCCAGGUAGCUGAGCCAUGAAUGUGACAGGAAUCAAACAAACUAAU
rnacentral:lncRNA from 1 species